CGCAGCCGCGGUAAUUCCAGCUCCAAUAGCGUAUAUUAAAGUUGUUGCAGUUAAAAAGCUCGUAGUUGAAUUUCGGGAUUGGCGCAUCGGUCGUGCCUCACGGGGUAUGAACUGGUGCAGUCAAUUUCUCACCUUCUGGAGAACCGCGAUGUCCUUAAUUGGAUGCCGCGGGGAACCAGGACCUUUACUUUGAAAAAAUUAGAGUGUUUAAAGCAGGCAUUUUUGCUUGAAUACAUUAGCAUGGAAUAAUAAAAUAGGACGGCAUGGUUCUAUUUUGUUGGUUUCUAGGACCACCGUAAUGAUUAAUAGGGAUAGUUGGGGGCAUUAGUAUUCAAUUGUCAGAGGUGAAAUUCUUGGAUUUAUUGAAGACUAACUACCGCGAAAGCAUUUGCCAAGGAUGUUUCACUAAUCAAGAACGAAAGUUAGGGGAUCGAAGACGAUCAGAUACCGUCGCAGUCUUAACCAUAAACUAUGCCGACUAGGAAUCAGACGAUGUUAAUUUUUUAAUGACUCGUUUGGC
rnacentral:rRNA from 1 species